CCUACGGGUGGCAGCAGUGAGGAAUAUUGGUCAAUGGACGAGAGUCUGAACCAGCCAAGUAGCGUGAAGGAUGACUGCCCUAUGGGUUGUAAACUUCUUUUAUAAAGGAAUAAAACGAGGCACGUGUGCCUUUUUGCAUGUACUUUAUGAAUAAGGAUCGGCUAACUCCGUGCCAGCAGCCGCGGUAAUACGGAGGAUCCGAGCGUUAUCCGGAUUUAUUGGGUUUAAAGGUAGCGUAGAUGGGUUGUUAAGUCAGUUGUGAAAGUUUGCGGCUCAACCGUAAAAUUGCAAUUGAUACUGGCAGUCUUGAGUGUAGUUGAGGUAGGCGGAAUUCGUGGUGUAGCGGUGAAAUGCUUAGAUAUCACGAAGAACCUCGAUUGCGAAGGCAGCUUACUAAACUGUGACUGACAUUGAUGCUCGAAAGUGUGGGUAGCAAACAGGAUUAGAUACCCUGGUAGUC
rnacentral:rRNA from 1 species